rnacentral:lncRNA from 1 species
AACAAUGGGAACAGUUGAGGUAGCAACCUCAAAAAUGACAGUCCUCUAGGGAGGAGUUGCAGGAGUUGGUGUAACAACCCAAUUUUAGUAUUUACUUCUUAUAUUAUUAUUAUUAUUUUAUUUUAUUUAUUUGGAGUGUUAAUUAAUUAAUUGGUUGUUAGGUAGUAUAAUAAUUGAUUAUAUUAAUUAACUUGGUGUAUAUACUGUGUUGGUUUAAUUUAUUUGAAC